rnacentral:rRNA from 1 species
AUACGGAGGGUGCAAGCGUUGUUCGGAAUCACUGGGCGUAAAGGGCGCGCAGGCGGUUUGGUAAGUCAGAUGUGAAAGCCCACGGCUCAACCGUGGAAGUGCAUUUGAAACUGCCGGACUUGAGUACCAGAGGGGAAAGUGGAAUUCCCGGUGUAGAGGUGAAAUUCGUAGAUAUCGGGAGGAAUACCGGUGGCGAAGGCGACUUUCUGGCUGGAUACUGACGCUGAGGCGCGAAAGCGUGGGGAGCAAACAGGAUUAGAAACCCUAGUAGUCC